AUGGGAUAUAUUUUACAUACAGUUGUUCCGGCGAGUCGCUGCAGCAUUACCAGGAAUGGAACAAACAGAAACAAAGAAAGGAGAGAUGACGGAGGUUAAACUGAAGGACACAGGCCCCGUAGAACCGGAGCACAAGGAAGGAGGGUGUUCGUGCUGAGGGUGUGGGUGGUCUCGCUAGGCAGGAUUUAAAAAUAACUCACCAGCUACAAAGGAAUUCAAUCCAGGCUGGAGAACAGACAGUGUUUUUUUUUUUUUUCAAGAGACCCUCCGAAAUUCUAAGACAAUAUACAGCACUGAAAUCUUGCAUAGGUGCUGUAAUGUGUUAACAUACUACACACUCUGUCACUUAUAAUGUUUACAUUUGUACCAUAUACCAGCCAUUUAUUUUAUGCAUGUUAAAGACUCUGAUCAAAUAACAUUGACAUAAUUUCAUUUGCAUGUUUCUGUUUAUCAUUUUGAAUAUCUGAAUAGAUUUGUUUGGAAAAGUUGUAAAUUUUACUUUUUUUUUUAGAUGUAUGUGUUCAAAUGUCAUUAGUUUGAAUCACUUGACUUGAUUACCCUUUGGCAAAUGUUUUGCUUCAUUUCAGUUUUCAUUAAAUUAUUAAUAUUUAUUUACUAGAAUAAGCUAAACAUUUAAUAAUUAUAAGUUGAUUGCUGCCCAUGACCCCAAAUACUUAUUUUCAUACUCAUUAGUAAAUAUAUUGUACUUGUAUAACUUUUUUCACCUACAAAAAUUAUUUGUAAGUUUCCAACCUUUAUUUCCUUGUAAUAUUUAUUGAAGUAAAUUAUUUAUUGAUUUGAAGGUUUCCUCAGUGACAAAAACAACAGUCACAGAUAAUUUCAGACAUGAAUAUAGAAUAAAAGAUUCCUUGAAAAGAAAAGGUUAUUUACAGUAUAAAAACAAAUUAACUGCUAUAUUAACUAUUAAUUAACAAAGAGGCAAAGGCAAUAUUUUUUAUGUUUGAUUAUCAAGUGUCAUAGGUGCUGGAUAGGAGAGUGUAGAUACAAUGUUUUAUUAAUCAGAAGCAGGAUAUUGUGAUAGGGAGAAAUGAAUCUGUGAAGUUGACAUAUCUAUAUAACUGUGCUGAAAAUGUAUGUUCAGAAUAUAUAAUUUGUCCUACAGUAUGCAGUUAUCUAUGCAUUUAUAACACUUCAUUAAUGGUCAGCACUUCUGAUUUUAACGCUGUUAUUUAUUAUGUGUUUUUGCCAUGUAUGAUUGCAUUUUAGCAUGUAUGUUGUGUAUGCUUGUGGCUAACUAAAAAUAGAAAUUAAAUGAAAUUAUUAAAGAUUUAUUAUUAUAAUGACUUUAA